rnacentral:rRNA from 1 species
GUGACCUCAAAUCAGGUAGGACUACCCGCUGAACUUAAGCAUAUCAAUAAGCGGAGGAAAAGAAACUAACAAGGAUUCCCCUAGUAACUGCGAGUGAAGCGGGACAAGCUCAAAUUUAAAAUCUGUCAGCCUUUGGCUGUCCGAGUUGUAAUCUAGAGAAGUGUAAUCCGCGCUGGACCGUGUGCAAGUCUCCUGGAAUGGAGCGUCAUAGAGGGUGAGAAUCCCGUCUUUGACACGGACUGCC